CCUACGGGAGGCAGCAGUGGGGAAUAUUGCACAAUGGGGGAAACCCUGAUGCAGCGACGCCGCGUGAGUGAAGAAGUAUCUCGGUACGUAAAGCUCUAUCAGCAGGGAAGAAAAUGACGGUACCUGACUAAGAAGCACCGGCUAACUACGUGCCAGCAGCCGCGGUAAUACGUCGGGGGCAAGCGUUAUCCGGAUUUACUGGGUGUAAAGGGAGUGUAGACGGGAGCACAAGUCUGGAGGGAAAUCCCGGGGCUUAACCCCGGAACUGCUUUGGAAACUGGGCGGCUGGAGUGCAGGAGGGGUAAGCGGAAUUCCUAGUGUAGCGGUGAAAUGCGUAGAUAUUAGGAGGAACACCGGUGGCGAAGGCGGCUUACUGGACUGUAACUGACGUUGAGGCUCGAAAGCGUGGGGAGCAAACAGGAUUAGAUACCCGGGUAGUC
rnacentral:rRNA from 1 species